rnacentral:rRNA from 1 species
UAGGGAAUCUUCGGCAAUGGGGGGAACCCUGACCGAGCAACGCCGCGUGAGUGAAGAAGGUUUUCGGAUCGUAAAGCUCUGUUGUUAAGGAAGAACGAGUGUGAGAAUGGAAAGUUCAUGCUGUGACGGUACUUAACCAGAAAGGGACGGCUAACUACGUGCCAGCAGCCGCGGUAAUACGUAGGUCCCGAGCGUUGUCCGGAUUUAUUGGGCGUAAAGCGAGCGCAGGCGGUUAGAAAAGUCUGAAGUGAAAGGCAGUGGCUCAACCAUUGUAGGCUUUGGAAACUGUUUAACGUGAGUGCAGAAGGGGGGAGUGGAAUUCCAUGUGUAGCGGUGAAAUGCGUAGAUAUAUGGAGGAACACCGGUGGCGAAAGCGGCUCUCUGGUCUGUAACUGACGCUGAGGCUCGAAAGCGUGGGGAGCGAACAGG